UCGCAAAUAUAUUUUAAAAAAAUUAAUGGAAAAUCAAAUAUAAUCACUUUUCAUUUUCGUUUCUCACACUCUGUGAACACCCAGAAAAACCCUACAGCCAUCCUCUUCACCUCAGGGCACCGCCGUCUUCAUCCCAACACCAUCCUCUUCACCCUAACGCCGCCAACGUCUUCAGCCCAACACCAUCCUCUUCACCCCAACGCCACCACCGUCUCAGCCUCUCUCUCUUUUUUCUGCAAAUCAACACAUCAAAACAACUUGUAUUGCCUUGUUAGAUUUGUCUAUCAUUGUCUUCGCUCAUCUUCUGAAGCAAUACACAAAUUAAUCUUUCCAAAAUCCAGCCAUGGUAGCUCUGUUAGUUCUUGUACCUGUUGGAUACUUGCAGCAUCUGUGAAAAGGAUUCUGGAAAGACAAGCAGCCACAAGUCUCAUCUGUUAGUGUAAAUUUAACAACAGAAACAACAAUAGUCUGGCCUGUAUCUGAAGCAAAAACUGCACCAAAUUGGCAAAAGAAAUUAGGGAAGACACUUGCAGAACAUUUAACUAGCAGUGGUUUCAAUUCUUGCCUUCGAGGUAUCUUUUUUAGGUUAUUAUGUAGUGUACUUUUACUUUCAUGUUUUGGUGUUUGUUGUUUGAGAAAAGGAUUUUCCUUGCUACUUACUGAUUAUCUAGUUCCUUGCUUUAUGCAUAAUCAUCAUAUAAAUUACAUGUUUGGUUGCUUAAUUAGUAUUUAGAUUUAGAUUUGACUUGAAAUUGAAUGAAAUGAAACAUAAUUUUGGAAAAUUCUGCUAUACAUUCUGUUACACAUAGCUGUACCUUAAUUUUGG